rnacentral:rRNA from 1 species
AACGAACGCUGGCGGCACGCCUAACACAUGCAAGUCGAACGAGACCUUCGGGUCUAGUGGCGCACGGGUGCGUAACGCGUGGGAACCUGCCCUUAGGUUCGGAAUAACUCCCCGAAAGGGGUGCUAAUACCGGAUAAUGUCUUCGGACCAAAGAUUUAUCGCCUUUGGAUGGGCCCGCGUUGGAUUAGCUAGUUGGUAGGGUAAAAGCCUACCAACGCGACGAUCCAUAGCUGGUCUGAGAGGAUGAUCAGCCACACUGGGACUGAGACACGGCCCAGACUCCUACGGGAGGCAGCAGUGGGGAAUAUUGGACAAUGGGCGAAAGCCUGAUCCAGCAAUGCCGCGUGAGUGAUGAAGGCCUUAGGGUUGUAAAGCUCUUUUACACGGGAUGAUAAUGACAGUACCGGGAGAAUAAGCUCCGGCUAACUCCGUG